AUGCUCCUGCCAAUUUCUCCCUCCCCCCUCUGGAAGACUUUACCAAUCAGAAGGACUGAGCCGAAAGCCUGUCUUACUCUGCUCAAAACCAUUAAUAUUUUAAGGCACUUACUUGUAUCUAAGAGCAAUGAGGUCCCUCCCAAUCUGCGAAAGAAGAAGGAAAGAAGGGAAGGGUCUGAAGUCAAGGGAGAGGGGAGUGAAAGUAGGAAAAGAGAAAUCCUGGUGAACAGAGGAGCCCCCUUGUUCUGGUUUGUAUCGAUCUUCUUUAAGCAUGGGGAGAGCUGAUGAGUCUGUGAUUAUUUUAAUGACCAUGAAACCUAUGCAUUCAAAGAAAUAAAUGAAGCUAUGUAAUCACCUUUUAAGUAAUAUCAAAGAACCAGAAAAGGGUUAGGGGGAGGGGCGUCAUUGUAGAACAGUAUUUACAUCAUACAAGGCACCACAGGGGAAGGUAAACACGGGUGAAGUUUCUGUAGAGGGAGAGGAGCCUAAAAUUCAAUACUUUAUGGCCCUGGCCCAUCCAAGGCAAGGAAAGAUAAGGCGUGGAAGCAAUAAUUGUGUCUAUUUUGGUAUUUUUUUGGCAAGGGAAAUGCUGAUGUUCGAGCUUUGUGAGUAGUUUAUAAAGCAAGAAAAACUUUGGAAGUGCAACAAUACGGAAGAUACAGACGAUGGACAAAUAGAAUCAGAGGUUGUUGACCAAGUGAGGGUUAUUGCGACAAUAUGCUUUAAAUUGAGAAUAACAAUGAAGACACACUAGGUUCAGUCCAAAGACAAACAACUGGAAAUAAAAUGACAUUGGAACAUAACAUUACAGAAUUAGGUGGCUGCCUAUGUCUAAGGGCAGGUACUGAGAAAAGCAGGAGACACGGACGCUGUCUUGGAAACCAGCAAGAGAGAGGACACAUACUGACAACGAUGCCCAGCAACCUGAUGUUGUCGAAUAGGAGUAGGAGUCGUAGGUAUCUGAUUCCACCGUUAUUUGUGAUUUUAACGAAGUUCUACAUUUAACAAGUCAGUGCAGACAAAAGGAAGAGUCCCAGCUCUGGUAGCUGACAGACCUGGUUUCCAAUCCUACUUCUUCCACUUGUUAGUUCUCUAACUCUGGAAAGAUUAUGUCAUGGCUGUAGGCCUCAGUCUUGUUAUCCGCAAAAUGGGGUUAUCAUCACCUGCCUCCCCUGGCCGCUGUGAGGAUUAAUUAAGAUAAUAAAUGGAAAGCACCUGGUUGUACUUGAGCAGGUGCCCAGUCAUUACAGCUGUUAUAAUUCAUCCCAUUACUCUAAAUAGGUAACAGAAAUUCUCAAGAAAAUUAUAAACCCCAGGAAAAGAUAACUUAAUUAAGAAAAAAUACCCUAUGCCCUUCAACCCGGGAGUUUUCUGGUCAUGAAUUCAUCAUUAAUCAAAUGCCUACAAACGGGGUUGCCGGAUAAAACAGGACUCACAGUUAAAUCUGAUUAUCAGAAGAACAACAAGUAUUUUUUAGUAUAAGUAUGUCCCAUGCAAUAUCAUACUGAAAAAUUGGGUGUCGUUUCUCUAAAAUUUAAACAGAAAUUUUAAAAAUGAAAUAACUGAUGGGUCCUCAGUUUGGUUUGGCUUUUUUGUUGUUGUUGUUGUUGUUGUUGUUGCCAAAUUUGGCAACCUAUCUGCAAACAGCAAAAAACCCUGAGUAUGUUUAAUUCCUGCUUCCUUCAGCCCCGGUUCCUCCGGAGGUAAGAGGAAAGGAAUCCUGAUUUCAGCGAGUGUUGUAAAAAACUUAAUAAAUGAAAUGAAUGUUAGUAAAAGGUUUCAAAUACCCAGAACAUCACUUGGCACUCGCUGAGGGAAAGCAACCGCCAGUCUGGCAUCUCCGGGUUAGGCCUCUGACUUGGGUUUCCCAUCAUCUGGCACCCAGGCCACCCCCCUGUUACCAGGCCCCCCCCCCCCCAGUUCUGACCCAGCCCUUUGCAGGCCUGGAACAGUUUUGUUUUGUUUUG
rnacentral:lncRNA from 1 species